rnacentral:rRNA from 1 species
GACGAACGCUGGCGGCGUGCUUAACACAUGCAAGUCGAACGGUAAGGCCCCAGCUUGCUGGGGUGCACGAGUGGCGAACGGGUGAGUAACACGUGGGUGACCUGCCCCUCACUUCGGGAUAAGCCUGGGAAACUGGGUCUAAUACCGGAUAGGACCGCACCGUGAGGGUGUGGUGGUAAGUGUUUCGGGGUGGGAUGGGCGCGCGGCCUAUCAGCUUGUUGGUGGGGUAAUGGCCUACUAAGGCGGCGACGGGUAGCCGGCCUGAGAGGGUGGACGGCCACAUUGGGACUGAGACACGGCCCAGACUCCUACGGGAGGCAGCAGUGGGGAAUAUUGCACAAUGGGCGGAAGCCUGAUGCAGCGACGCCGCGUGGGGGAUGACGGCCUUCGGGUUGUAAACUCCUUUCACCAUCGACGAAGGUUUUCUGACGGUAGAUGGAGAAGAAGCACCGGCUAACUACGUG